GAUUCAGGAAAAUGAAGACUCGUGCACGUUAAUGAAGAAUGAGGAAUCCAGAAUCCAAUUUCUGGGGUUUGCAUUGUGUGAGUUUCCUACUUGGCUGUGUACAAAUCCUAAGGUGCUACCAAACAUGAGUAAUGCCCAGACCGACAGUGUGUGGACAGGCCUGCGUUUCCUGGCUGGAAUGUGGUUCUGGGUCAGCAAGGAGAAUGUUGUGGCUAACAUUGCUCUCCCCUCAUGCCCACCUGAGCCGUAUCGUUGUGGAGCCCGCAAUGCCAAGACAGGGAAUUGGGAGAACAGAGACUGUGAGGAGAAGCUGAAUUUUCUUUGUUUUUAAAGAGAAAGACAAGUGAUGAAGCAUCACAUGGAUGAAUCUGGGAUUAAGGUGGUUUGGAGAGGCCUGGAAUAAAACACAAAUGAACUGUAAUAAUUUCUAAUUCAUGAUGACUUCUGAGAUUCUUUAGUGAGUAGCUGCUGCCCUUCAUACCUUUCUAGUUGUUUGGCAUCCAUCACAUCUCCAAUAAUUACCAAAGCCAACACCAGAGGUCACUAUCUACUCUGGUAUUAAUAGUCAUUCGCCAUGAUUACUUGUACACCUGC